rnacentral:rRNA from 1 species
AGGACGAACGCUGGCGGCGUGCUUAACACAUGCAAGUCGAGCGGUAAGGCCCCUUUGGGGGUACACGAGCGGCGAACGGGUGAGUAACACGUGGGUGACCUGCCCUCCACUCUGGGAUAAGCCUUGGAAACGGGGUCUAAUACCGGAUAUGACCACAUGUCGCAUGGUGUGUGGUGGAAAGCGUUUAGUGGUGGGGGAUGGGCCCGCGGCCUAUCAGCUUGUUGGUGAGGUGAUGGCCUACCAAGGCGACGACGGGUA